UACGUAGGGGGCAAGCGUUGUCCGGAUUCAUUGGGCGUAAAGAGCGUGUAGGCGGCCUGAAAGGUCAGCUGUGAAAACUCGAGGCUCAACCUCGAGACGUCGGUUGAAACCAUCUGGCUAGAGUCCGGAAGAGGAGUGUGGAAUUCCCGGUGUAGCGGUGAAAUGCGCAGAUAUCGGGAAGAACACCCGUGGCGAAGGCGGCACUCUGGGACGGUACUGACGCUGAGACGCGAAAGCGUGGGGAGCGAACAGG
rnacentral:rRNA from 1 species